UUUGAAAGGUUUCUUUAUUAAUGUAACCAAGAGAAAAAGGUGAUGGUAAGCUUUUGGCAAACCUUUUCAAACAUUCUUAGAUGAGCUUUAAUUUUCAGGUCAUAAAAGUAUUCCACCCUGAAAGCUCCAUAGCUAACAAAGCGUCUAAAAGGUUGCAGAGGCAGAAGACGAAUAAUACUCCUUACAGUGAACAUGAGUAUACUGAUGGAGACCAGAUUUCACAACAUAAAGACAACAGGUGUGUUCCUCAGGGAUUAAAGUCAAUGGAAGGCACAGAAGUUUAUAAGACCAUCUCAAAACCGCCUCAAUAUGAGCUUGCUUGCUGGGUGUACUGGAUUAAAACAGAUGUAGACUGUAAGUAAACAUCUAACCAUAUUGCUCAUUCAAAUGAUUUCUCCAUUGUCUGAAAUAGUGGAUUCCAAACUAGAAGUAUACCAAAAAGUUUCCCAUAAACUACAAGUAUUACCAUUAUCAUAAAAUAAAGGUCGUGGGGGCAGGAGCAGUGAUUCGGGAUCACAAAGGCUCUUGGAUUGUUGGCUCAUAUGUCAUAUCGUCAUGUUCCACUUGCGACUAGCGUAGAAGCGGACUUAUGGGCCCUUCGUGACGGCUUUAGACUUGCUAAGAGCUUAAAUAUUAGGCAUUUGGUCAUUGAAGUUGAAACUACUUUAAUCAUUCAUUUCAUGUCUAAUAUAAAUACUACUAAUCUACUGUUAUCUCCAAUUAUGAAUGAAUGCAAGAUGCUCCUCUGUCUAUUGAUUUCUAAGAGUAUUAAACAUAUCUUUCGAGUUUAGUACGUAUUCGGAACAACGUUCUUGAUAAUUCCUCUUUGGAUUGUAACUCUUUUGAUGAUUUCUUUUGUAUUGGUAACUCCCCUCAUAGCUCCUUAAUUACAAUUGUUGAGGCGGAUGCCAGAAGGGACAUUUUGUUCAUGUAGAACCUUUUAUCAGUGAAGUUCCUUUCUUGACAAAAAAGAAAAGAGAAGAGGUCGUUAAUGUGUAUGUUUACCUUGAAAUGACAAUAUUAC
rnacentral:lncRNA from 1 species